GGGGAAUAUUGGACAAUGGGCGAAAGCCUGAUCCAGCAAUGCCGCGUGUGUGAAGAAGGUCUUCGGAUUGUAAAGCACUUUCGGCGGGGACGAUGAUGACGGUACCCGCAGAAGAAGCCCCGGCUAACUUCGUGCCAGCAGCCGCGGUAAUACGAAGGGGGCUAGCGUUGCUCGGAAUGACUGGGCGUAAAGGGCGCGUAGGCGGCGCAGAUAGUCAGAUGUGAAAUUCCCGGGCUUAACCUGGGGGCUGCAUUUGAUACGUCUGUGCUUGAGUGUGGAAGAGGGUCGUGGAAUUCCCAGUGUAGAGGUGAAAUUCGUAGAUAUUGGGAAGAACACCGGUGGCGAAGGCGGCGACCUGGUCCAUAACUGACGCUGAGGCGCGAAAGCGUGGGGAGCAAAC
rnacentral:rRNA from 1 species